AUGAACAUCGCCCUCCUGACCCGGUGGUUGUGGCGUAUUGCCAAUGGAGACGGAGGGUUGUGGAUCACCAUUAUCCGCAACAAAUACCUCUGUGGACAGCCUCUGGCUUUCUGUCAGCGUUCGAGCGGAUCACAGUUUUGGCAGGCCCUCGUGCAGCUGCUUCCUGUGCUUCACAUUGGCACGUCCAUUUCGGUUGGUACUGGGUCCGUGACCCUGUUCUGGUUUGAUCGGUGGCUCGGCGACACCUCUCUGGCCGCCCGCUUUCUCGAUCUCUUCGCCAUUGCAGUUGACCCUCGGGUCUCUGUUGAGACAGCCCUUAUUGACUUAGGGCGCCUCGUGUUUCGUCGCCCUUUCGGUCCUCUCGAAGUGGCCGCCUGGGAUUCCCUCCUCCAGGACAUCGCCCUUCUCCCGAUGAGCGUCACCGACGCCCCGGACGCCAUCUCAUGGCGCCUAGAGUCUUCCGGUCGCUUCUCUACUAGGUCCCUGUAUGCGGCCAUCGGGCCUUCGCCCGCUCCCGAGCCCUUCGGUUUGAUCUGGGACAUUCGCUUG
rnacentral:rRNA from 1 species